GACGAACGCUGGCGGCGUGCUUAACACAUGCAAGUCGAACGAAGUGGCGAACGGGUGAGUAACGCGUAAUCAACCUGCCCUUCAGAGGGGGACAACAUUUGGAAACGAAUGCUAAUACCUAAUACUGUGAGAGAGCUUUGCGUCUGAUUAGCUAGUUGGAGGGGUAACGGCCCACCAAGGCGAUGAUCAGUAGCCGGUCUGAGAGGAUGAACGGCCACAUUGGGACUGAGACACGGCCCAGACUCCUACGGGAGGCAGCAGUUGGGAAUCUUCCGCAAUGGACGAAAGUCUGACGGAGCAACGCCGCGUGAGUGAUGACGGCCUUCGGGUUGUAAAGCUCUGUUAAUCGGGACGCGGUACCGGAAUAGAAAGCCACGGCUAACUACGUGCCAGCAGCCGCGGUAAUUC
rnacentral:rRNA from 1 species